rnacentral:lncRNA from 1 species
CACAGUCAUUUAGCUGAAUAUUGCCAAGAGGAAAGAUCAUGAUCAUGACAUAACUUCUUAUUCUGCUGAUGACGAUAAUAAAGGUUGCUGUGAUGGGUCAACAUGACAAGAUAAAGUAAGAAAGUAAGAUAGAGUAAGAAAACAAGUAAGAAAGAAUCCUCUGAAGGCCAGUCUCAACAGCAGUUGAAGCAAAAGUCUUGGAUCUUUCCCCUAGUGGUUUAGGAAAGAGACCUAACAAAGGGGAGGAUACAAACUGGAUAGCUUUCCUCAGGACUCUGUUUCCAGUAGGUCUCUAAUUUUUCCAAGCCACAUGGAACAAAAAACACUGAGCCAGCAUCCUUCCUCAUUUACAGUGACAUAAAUUUGAAGAUAAAACCAGCAAAGUCAACAUAGUUUCAUAGCAGUGAAAGUAAUGCAAGAUCAGAGGACAUUUUUACAUAAAGUGUAGUGAACUUCUGGAAUUCACUGAUACAAGAAGUUGUGGGGACAGAUAACACCACCAACUUUAGCAAGAUGUUAAGCAAAUUCUUGGACAGCAGGUCAGUAAAGAGAUACAAACCCACAUGAAUGCCUAAUAUGCCUAAUAUGGUGGCUGCAG